rnacentral:rRNA from 1 species
GUACAUCCAGAGAACUUGGCAGAGAUGCCUUGGUGCCUUCGGGACCUCUGAGACAGGUGCUGCAUGGCUGUCGUCAGCUCGUGUUGUGAAAUGUUGGGUUAAGUCCCGNAACGAGCGCAACCCCUAUCCUUUGUUGCCAGCGAUUCGGUCGGGAACUCAAAGGAGACUGCCGGUGAUAAACCGGAGGAAGGUGGGGAUGACGUCAAGUCAUCAUGGCCCUUACGAGUAGGGCUACACACGUGCUACAAUGGCGCAUACAAAGAGAAGCGACCUCGCGAGAGCAAGCGGACCUCAUAAAGUGCGUCGUAGUCCGGAUCGGAGUCUGCAAUUCGACUCCGUGAAGUCGGAAUCGCUAGUAAUCGUAGAUCAGAAUGCUACGGUGAAUACGUUCCCGGGCCUUGUACACACCGCCCGUCACACCAUGGGAGUGGGUUGCAAAAGAAGUAGAUAGCUUAACCUUCGGGAGGGCGUUUACCACUUUGUGAUUCAUGACUGGGGUGAAGUCGUAACAAGGUAAGCGUAGCGAG